rnacentral:tRNA from 1 species
GAUUCUGUAGCUCAGCCGGUAGAGCAACGGCCUUUUAAGUCGUGGGUCCCGGGUUCGAAUCCCGGCAGGAUCA